GGAAAAACGUACUUGGAUGCAUUAGAACAGAAGAAUUGUUCUUACCGGCUAAGCUCUGGAAUUGAGGAUAUGUCUGAGGAAUAUGAUGAGCGAAGCCCAUUUGGGUGUCGUCUGUCUUAGACAAAAGCCAGAAGCAGAAUCAGUGCACUCAGCAUCACCGUUUCGCAACACAGUGGCUCCUCCAUCCCUGACCGUCUCCAGGAGGGUCCUCUACCUAUAAUGAGGCUCAUUCUGAAGAAAGGAAGAGAGGCCCGUGGGCCCCCUGCCACCGAUGUCUGCGUC
rnacentral:lncRNA from 1 species